GUUAAAACACUAGUUCCCGUACGAUCACCGAAGUUAAGCAACGUCGAGCCUGGUCAGUACCUAGUUGGGUGACUACUUGGGAAUGCCACGUGCUGUA